rnacentral:rRNA from 1 species
UACGUAGGGUGCAAGCGUUGUCCGGAAUUAUUGGGCGUAAAGAGCUCGUAGGCGGUUUGUCGCGUCGAAUGUGAAAACCCGGGGCUCAACCCCGGGCCUGCAUUCGAUACGGGCAGACUAGAGUUCGGUAGGGGAGUCUGGAAUUCCUGGUGUAGCGGUGAAAUGCGGCAGAUAUCAGGAGGAACACCAGUGGCGAAGGCGGCUUCCUGGUCUGCGACUGACGCUGUGGCGCGAAAGCUAGGGGAGCAAACGGG